AUUGAACGCUGGCGGCAGGCCUAACACAUGCAAGUCGAACGAGUGGCGGACGGGUGAGUAAUGUCUGGGAAACUGCCUGCUGGAGGGGGAUAACUACUGGAAACGGUAGCUAAUACCGCAUACCAUCAGAUGUGCCCAGAUGGAAUUAGCUAGUAGGUGGGGUAACGGCUCACAUGGGCGACGAUCCCUAGCUGGUCUGAGAGGAUGACCAGCCACACUGGAACUGAGACACGGUCCAGACUCCUACGGGAGGCAGCAGUGGGGAAUAUUGCACAAUGGGCGCAAGCCUGAUGCAGCCAUGCCGCGUGUGUGAAGAAGGCCUUCGGGUUGUAAAGUACUUUCAGCGGGGAGGCGUUACUCGCAGAAGAAGCACCGGCUAACUCCGUGCCAGCAGCCGCGGUAAUAC
rnacentral:rRNA from 1 species